rnacentral:rRNA from 1 species
CGAAGAUACGACGAAGAACCUUACCUGGACUUGACAUUGAAAGAAUCCUGUAGAGAUACGGGAGUGCCAGUUUACUGGAGCUUGAAAACAGGUGCUGCACGGCUGUCGUCAGCUCGUGUCGUGAGAUGUUGGGUUAAGUCCCGCAACGAGCGCAACCCACGUCGUUAGUUGCUAACAGUUAGGCUGAGAACUCUAACGAGACUGCCUUCGUAAGGAGGAGGAAGGUGUGGACGACGUCAAGUCAUCAUGGCCCUUACGUCCAGGGCUACACACGUGCUACAAUGGGGUAUACAAAGAGCAGCAAUACGGUGACGUGGAGCAAAUCUCAUAAAAUGCCUCCCAGUUCGGAUUGUAGUCUGCAACUCGACUACAUGAAGUUGGAAUCGCUAGUAAUCGUGGAUCAGCAUGUCACGGUGAAUACGUUCCCGGGUCUU